rnacentral:rRNA from 1 species
AUAUGGUCGACCUGCAGGCGGCCGCGAAUUCACUAGUGAUUAGAGUUUGAUCAUGGCUCAGAACGAACGCUGGCGGCAUGCCUAACACAUGCAAGUCGAACGAACCCUUCGGGGUUAGUGGCGCACGGGUGCGUAACGCGUGGGAAUCUGCCCUUGGCUUCGGAAUAACAGUUAGAAAUGACUGCUAAUACCGGAUGAUGUCUUCGGACCAAAGAUUUAUCGGCCAGGGAUGAGCCCGCGUAGGAUUAGGUAGUUGGUGGGGUAAAGGCCUACCAAGCCGACGAUCCUUAGCUGGUCUGAGAGGAUGAUCAGCCACACUGGGACUGAGACACGGCCCAGACUCCUACGGGAGGCAGCAGUGGGGAAUAUUGGACAAUGGGCGCAAGCCUGAUCCAGCAAUGCCGCGUGAGUGAUGAAGGCCUUAGGGUUGUAAAGCUCUUUUACCCGGGAUGAUAAUGACAGUACCGGGAGAAUAAGCUCCGGCUAACUCCGUGCCAGCAGCCGCGGUAAAAUCGAAUUCCCGCGGCCG